GCUCGCUUGGUGAAAAUAGGUAAACACGAUGGAUUUAAAAUCCGUUCCGGAUAGGUUACUGGUUCAAGUCCAGUAGCGAGUA
rnacentral:tRNA from 1 species